UACAGAGGUGGCAAGCGUUGUUCGGAAUUACUGGGCGUAAAGUGUGCGCAGGCGGCCGAGCAAGUCGAGUGUGAAAGCCCCGAGCUUAACUUGGGAACUGCGCUCGAAACUACUUGGCUGGAGUGUGGCAGAGGAAGGUGGAAUUCCACGUGUAGCGGUGAAAUGCGUAGAGAUGUGGAGGAACACCGAUGGCGAAGGCAGCCUUCUGGACCGGUAUUGACGGCUGAGGCGCGGAAAGCCAGGGGAGCAAACGGG
rnacentral:rRNA from 1 species